GGUGGGGGAGGGGUGGUAGACAGGCCACACUGGGCACCGAGAUUUAGAAGACUAGCUACAGGUGUUCUUGGUUCUUGUAGUAACCAUCUGGGGUGGCUUCUUGCAGGAGCUGGAAUUUCCAGAGUUUGGAUAUAGGGUUUCCAGAGUUAUCCCUACAGUGAGGGGGGCUAGUUUGGAGGGAACAUGGUUAGUUUUGUUCAACAGGCAAUAGAGAAGCUCAUCUUUUUUUUUUUUUUUUUUUUUUUUUGUUCAGCCGGCUACUAGCAGUCACUACUGGAAAGGUGAAGAAAAUGAGGGCUAUCGUCCAAGGAACAUUGCAGCGUCCCAAGGGAGGCACUUACCAAUGAUUAGCAAGCUAGAAAAGCCCACUGUCCCGCUCAACUUGAUGGAGCGAGGGAGUGCCUUGAGGGUAAAGAACAAGGCGGGAUCAUUUCAGGCUAGGGUAGCCUUUGGAGAGGAAUGGUUGAAAGGGCCUUCGGUAGAUGAGUGGUCACUACCUCAGGGCUGGAGAGGACUAUGGUCCCGCCGCCUCCCACCCCCCUGCAAAGGGAAGAUAACGAUUAACGCGCGCGCCCGCACUCCUAACGACCCAGGCUCCAAGGGAGCCACCAGAUCUGCGUCCCCCCAGGGCGCCGCACCGAAAAGGAGAACAGACCGUCCUUCAAGGCCAACCCCACUCCCCGGCUCCCACACCCCCGCCUUCAGCACCGGAGAGUGGCGACGGAUUUAUAACCCACCUCUUUCUCCCAGUUGCCAUGGAGACCAGCCCCAAGUCCUUUCAUUCCUUCUGGUACCCGGAACAUUUCUCCGACGCAGGCGGAACGGCGCGGGGCUCGGCGCUGACGCGCCCGUGGCCGCGCUGGGGGACAGAGCGGUGGUAAAAAAAAAUGUAGCGCGGAGGGGCUGGCGGUCUCGACGGCAACGGCGGCACCGAGGCGACGGACAAAGGCUAAGGUCAGCCGCGGUUCAAGCCUCCCUCCCCGCCAACGGCCAGACGCCGGGGGGCACAGCGCUGGGCGGGAGGAGGGUGCGGGCCGCGAGAGCCCCGCCGCGGCGGGGGGGGGGGGGGGCGGGGGCCGCGGAGGCCCGGGCGCGCACCUGUCCGUCCACCUGCGCGGGCGGGCGCGCCGGCCCCUCCACCCACCUUGGGCGGCGCCGCCAUCACGCUCCCCUCGGCAACACCGCCUCUCAGCGGCCGAGCGCGGAUCCCCUCCC
rnacentral:lncRNA from 1 species